rnacentral:rRNA from 1 species
UACAGAGGGUGCAAGCGUUGUUCGGAAUUACUGGGCGUAAAGCGUGCGCAGGCGGUGAUGUAAGACAGAUGUGAAAUCCCCGGGCUUAACCUGGGAACUGCAUUUGUGACUGCAUCGCUGGAGUGCGGCAGAGGGUAGUGGAAUUUCCGGUGUAGCGGUGAAAUGCGUAGAGAUCGGAAGGAACACCAGUGGCGAAGGCGGCUACCUGGACAGAUACUGACGCUGAGGCGCGAGAGCGUGGGGAGCAAACAGG